CUUUGAAGUGUGGACGCCAGUCUGCAUGGAGCCGACCUUGAAAUACCACCCUUUAAUGUUUGAUGUUCUAACGUGGACCCGUGAUCCGGGUUGCGGACAGUGUCUGGUGGGUAGUUUGACUGGGGCGGUCUCCUCCUAAAGAGUAACGGAGGAGCACGAAGGUUGGCUAAUCCUGGUCGGACAUCAGGAGGUUAGUGCAAUGGCAUAAGCCAGCUUGACUGCGAGCGUGACGGCGCGAGCAGGUGCGAAAGCAGGUCAUAGUGAUCCGGUGGUUCUGAAUGGAAGGGCCAUCGCUCAACGGAUAAAAGGUACUCCGGGGAUAACAGGCUGAUACCGCCCAAGAGUUCAUAUCGACGGCGGUGUUUGGCACCUCGAUGUCGGCUCAUCACAUCCUGGGGCUGAAGUAGGUCCCAAGGGUAUGGCUGUUCGCCAUUUAAAGUGGUACGCGAGCUGGGUUUAGAACGUCGUGAGACAGUUCGGUCCCUAUCUGCCGUGGGCGCUGGAGAACUGAGGGGGGCUGCUCCUAGUACGAGAGGACCGGAGUGGACGCAUCACUGGUGUUCGGGUUGUCAUGCCAAUGGCACUGCCCGGUAGCUAAAUGCGGAAGAGAUAAGUGCUGAAAGCAUCUAAGCACGAAACUUGCCCCGAGAUGAGUUCUCCCUGACCCUUUAAGGGUCCUGAAGGAACGUUGAAGACGACGACGUUGAUAGGCCGGGUGUGUAAGCGCAGCGAUGCGUUGAGCUAACCGGUACUAAUGAACCGUGAGGCUUAACCUUACAACGCCGAAGGUGUUU
rnacentral:rRNA from 1 species